UCCAUCGACCAUCACCACUCCCAUCUCUUUCAAUGGUUCUUCACUCUCUCUUAUAUAAGGCUUCAAUUUUUCACCUAUCUAAUUCCAUAUAAUUCAAUUUAUGUUGAAACUGAUAGUUACGAAGGGAUUGGAAGAAAAAAAAUGUUGGUGGUAGACCCUUCUCAUAAGUUGUAUACACGUAUGAGAUUAUGGAAAUAUUUUAAUCAAUUUGUUGUGGAGCUGCAAUUCCCAAGGUGAUUUUGGGCAAGCCAUAAAUUUAAUGGUAGUGGCGCUUGAGCAUAGAUAUGAUGUUUGGACGAGGGAUUACGGAUAUAGGCCUGUAGAUAUGAAAUAAUGUAGUAAGGCUUAUAUUGUACUGUUUAUGCUUUUGAUCUGUACGAACAUGACAUCCCAAU